GCCGGCUUUUUGGGCCAGCAAGCCAGUCCAGUUUGGCCGCUCUUGAUCGGAGUUUUGUGCAGAUCCUCGUGAUGUGUGAGCUUAGGGUGAUUUGGACAGCUCCAAUGCAUCCACAAUCUGCAUCAGCUCAGGCAGUGUGACUGGUCUGAAGGGAAUCCUGGUUUCCUGGUCCGGUUGUAGCUGCUUCUGCCGUUUUGACUGCUCACGCUCUCUAUUGAUUGCGGCCCGCUCUUCAUCUGAAUUGGACAGUAUCGGGCUGAAUCUCUCCUCCAGGAUUGUGAGCCCCUUGUUAAGACGAUUUUGCGCCGCCCUGUAGUUUCGUCUGGCUUCGAUGGUGCGGGUCGCCAGCCAGAUCCUCUUGCACUGCUGUUUGAUGGAGAGCAGCUCGCUUGUAGCCUCGUCCAGCUUGAGGUGAUGGUGCCGGUGAUGUUGCUGUGACCGCUGCUGAUGAUGAUGCUGACGCUGCUGUGGCCAUCUUCGAUGAGUGUUUGGAUGCUGCUGUUGGUGUUGUGUUGUUGCUGCUGCUGCUGCUACCCGUAUAUUGUUCAAAAACAAGUAAACGACGUCAUCAAUGUCCUGCGCUAUCCUAAUCUCGGUGUUGAGAUUGAUCAACCGUUCCAGCGACUUUUGGAACAGGCUGAU